rnacentral:lncRNA from 1 species
AGGACAUCUGUGUCAAUGACUGGCCUUGGCAGGGGAAACCAAGGAGCUUCUGAACCAAGAGCAUACAAGAGUUCUCCCAGAGGCUUCUGUCAGAAUUUUGUUGAUUUUUGAAAGAGAUGUCCACAGGUUCGUGCUGAGUAGGACUCGGUCCAGAUGGAAGAUGUGCCUGCGGUUUGUGAACACCACUGCUCCUAACCCACUGCAUCAUCUCUACCGAUUGAUUCUGAGACUUUGCC